rnacentral:rRNA from 1 species
AUACGGAGGAUCCGAGCGUUAUCCGGAUUUAUUGGGUUUAAAGGGUGCGUAGGCGGCCUUUUAAGUCAGCGGUGAAAGUCUGUGGCUCAACCAUAGAAUUGCCGUUGAAACUGGGAGGCUUGAGUAUGUUUGAGGCAGGCGGAAUGCGUGGGGUAGCGGGGGAAUGCUUAGAUAUCACGCAGAACCCCGAUUGCGAAGGCAGCCGGCCAAGCCAUGACUGACGCUGAUGCACGAAAGCGUGGGGAUCAAACAGGAUUAGAUACCCUGGUAGUCCACGCAGUAAACGAUGAUCACUAGCUGUUUGCGAUACACAGUAAGCGGCACAGCGAAAGCGUUAAGUGAUCCACCUGGGGAGUACGCCGGCAACGGUGAAACUCAAAGGAAUUGACGGGG